rnacentral:rRNA from 1 species
CUGGCUCAGGAUGAACGCUAGCGACAGGCUAACACAUGCAAGUCGAGGGGCAGCACGGGAGUAGCAAUACAACUGGUGGCGACCGGCGCACGGGUGAGUAACGCGUAUGCAACCUACCUAUCAGAGGGGAAUAACCCGGCGAAAGUCGGACUAAUACCGCAUAAAACAGGGGCACCGCAUGGUGAUAUUUGUUAAAGAGAUUCGCUGAUAGAUGGGCAUGCGUUCCAUUAGGUAGUUGGUGAGGUAACGGCUCACCAAGCCGACGAUGGAUAGGGGAACUGAGAGGUUGGUCCCCCACACUGGUACUGAGACACGGACCAGACUCCUACGGGAGGCAGCAGUGAGGAAUAUUGGUCAAUGGGCGGGAGCCUGAACCAGCCAAGUCGCGUGAAGGAAGAAGGAUCUAUGGUUCGUAAACUUCUUUUGCAGGGGAAUAAAGUGCAGGACGUGUCCUGUUUUGUAUGUACCCUGAGAAUAAGGAUCGGCUAACUCCGUGCCAGCCGCCGC